CCUACGGGCGGCAGCAGUGAGGAAUAUUGGUCAAUGGACGAGAGUCUGAACCAGCCAAGUAGCGUGAAGGAUGACUGACCUAUGGGUUGUAAACUUCUUUUAUAUGGGAAUAAAAAAGGGUAUGCAUACCCUCUUGUACGUACAAUACGAAUAAGGAGCGGACAACUCCGCGCCAGAAGCCGCGGUAAUACGGAGGAUCCGAGCGUUAGCCGGAUUUAGUGGGUUUAAAGGGAGCGUAGGUGGUUUGUUAAGUCUGUUGUGAAAGUUUGCGGCUCAACCGUAAAAUUGCAGUUGAAACUGGCAGUCUUGAGUACGGGAGAGGUGGGCGGAAUUCGUGGUGUAGCGGUAAAAUGCUUAGAUAUCACGAAGAACUCCGAUUGCGAAGGCGACUCACUGGACUGCAACUGACACUGAUGCUCGAAAGUGUGGGUAUCAAACAGGAUUAGAUACCCUUGUAGUC
rnacentral:rRNA from 1 species